rnacentral:rRNA from 1 species
GACAGAGGUGGCAAGCGUUGUUCGGAUUUAUUGGGUGUAAAGGGUCCGUAGGCGGUUCGACAAGUCUGACGUGAAAUCCCAUGGCUCAACCAUGGAACUGCGUUGGAAACUGUCGGACUUGAGUACCGAAGAGGUAAAGGGAAUUCCCGGUGUAAGGGUGAAAUCUGUAGAUAUCGGGAGGAACACCAGUGGCGAAGGCGCUUUACUGGUCGGUUACUGACGCUGAGGGACGAAAGCAAGGGGAGCAAACAGG